GCAACGUGCUAUUAAAAGAUACUCCAAACUGAAUUGCAUGAAAAAACAGUGUAAACAUGGACUCGUUUCACCAGCUUGAUGCACGAUUUUUGUUUUAUUUUUUGAGAAGGAAGACCCUCGGCUGAUGAAUCGGUUGAUGUGCACAACCAUAUAUUACUCAUUGAUCAAAAGUGACUGACACCGUUAGACAGCAAUGUCGAACAAGUCGCUCAAAAAAGAAAAAAAACCGAGGUUGUCUACCUCGCAAUAGUAAUCCCACCAACCUGCCACAUACCCUAUAACAAGUGACUGAAACAAAUGUUAAACACACAACUCGUAGACAAAGCCGUCCGUCACAUGUGGGUCGAUGAUGACGAAUCCAACCGUUGGUCGAUCUUGGGAUUUUCAUCCCCAAAGCAUAGCUUCAACUGAUCACCACCUUCAGCAAGGGCACCAGGCAUGCAGGUGCAUAGAUCUGUGUUUUCACCGGAUCACGCACAUGCUUGUCAUCGAAGGUGCGACUUCCAUCAAUCCACCUACCGGCCGCCGGCAUCUCCGACGGCAUCUCACUGGCCGGAAGCAGGAAUCGUCCCAUACCGUCCCGCUUCCAGUCAUUGUGGCACCGCCUUUGAUCCACCUCCUAUGGCGACAAACGGAAGUCUUCCCCUAACACGAAAAACAGAUUUGACAAGAUGACUUCCACAUGAGAGGCAUCGCGUAUCACCUAUCUAGCC
rnacentral:lncRNA from 1 species